GUGCACCAGUCGCGCAAACUUUGCAAUACACGCAAGUGUGACAGGGCUAUCCCGAGUGCCGCCCGCUGAGGGUGGCUUUUGCCCAGUUUAGCAAGCUGGGAGAAUAAGGAGAGGGCAAGUCUGGUGUCAGCCGCCGCGGUAAUACCAGCUCUCCGAGUGGUGUGGAUGUUUAUUGGGCCUAAAGCAUCCGUAGCUGGCUGAGUUAGUCCCCUGUUAAAUCCAAUGAAUUAAUUGUUGGAGUGCGGGGGAUACUGCUCGGCUAGGGGGCGGGAGAGGCAGACGGUAUUUUCGGGGUAGGGGUGAAAUCCUAUAAUCCCGGGAAGACCACCAGUGGCGAAGGCUGUCUGCUAGAACGCGCCCGACGGUGAGGGAUGAAAGCUGUGGGAGCGAACCGGAUUAGAUACCCGGGGAGUCC
rnacentral:rRNA from 1 species